rnacentral:rRNA from 1 species
UACAGAGGGUGCGAGCGUUAAUCGGAAUUACUGGGCGUAAAGCGCACGUAGGCGGCUUGGUAUGUCGGGUGUGAAAUCCCCGGGCUCAACCUGGGAACUGCAUCCGAAACUGCCUUGCUAGAGUAUGGGAGAGGGAAGUGGAAUUUCCGGUGUAGCGGUGAAAUGCGCAGAUAUCGGGAGGAACACCAGUAGCGAAGGCGGCUCGCUGGGCCAUUCCUGACGCUGAGACGCGAAAGCUAGGGGAGCGAACAGG